rnacentral:rRNA from 1 species
UACGAAGGGUGCAAACGUUGCUCGGAAUUAUUGGGCGUAAAGCGCACGUAGGCGGCUAUCUAAGUCGGAUGUGAAAUCCCUCGGCUUAACCAAGGAAGUGCACCCGAAACUGGAUAGCUUGAGUACAGAAGAGGAUCGCGGAAUUCCCGGUGUAGAGGUGAAAUGCGUAGAUAUCAUGAGGAAUACCAGAGGCGAAGGCGGCUACCUGGACAAUUGCUGACGCUCAGGCACGAAAGCGUGGGGAGCAAAAGGG